GGAAGUGGUAGCUCAGUGGUUGGGACGUUGGACUUAUGAUCGGAAGGUCAUGAGUUCAAAUCCUAGCACUUCCA